rnacentral:lncRNA from 1 species
UCAUUUAUAAACCAAGCAAGAUUAUCAAACAAACAAUAUCACAUACAACCAUCAUCUCUUCAUCAUCUCUCUUGAUAAUAUCCCAUGGGACAACAUAUGCAAAUAUUAAUCAUCUAUAACCAAACCAAGAUCUCAAACAAACCAUACCAUAUACAACCAUCAAGUGUUCACCAUAUCUCUUCAUGUGGGUUCCUAUGACAACGUAUGGAUAGCCUACGUAGGCACCAAUCCGAAUUAGUAUGGCCUACAAAUUUAACAAUGCACCAUCUAGUACCUAUCAAUCAUCUAAAAUAAUCUACCAACUACAAUUUUUUCCCUAAAAUGAAUAAACCAUCUAACCAUCUAACACCACCAUAAAAAAAGAAGAGGAUUCAAUCAAAAUAAAUUAGAGGGAAGGGGCAAGAGUACCUUGAGGAUGCUUAGGGGCCUAAGAUCCACGAAUUUGAGGGGUGGAAUGAGUAUAUCUUGAGGAUUUGGUGAGGGGAGAGGGAAAGGGCGAGAGAGAACCUCUCUGUUCGUGCGCUAGCUCGGUCCCCGCCAGAGGAUAGGGAAGAGGGAGUGGGUUGGGCCCGCGCGGCUGGAUGACUUAUCAGGAGAAAACACCACGGUCCGUGGCGUUUUGUGUUGAGGGCAAAAGCCGAGGUCUAUGAUGUGUGGACCAGGGGGAAACACCAGGGACCAUGAUGUCUCCCAUGCAAACGGGACGCAGGGAUCUUGGCAUGACCAAAAAAGGUCAGAUACAUCUUUUUUCAAACGGGGAUGAAUUCGUGCUUAACUUAGCCAAAAAGUUAGAACAGUAAUUUUGCCGAAAAACCCUCUUCAACGAAGCACGACACGUGACGGCACUAGGACGCAACAUGUGCAAUGCUCCCAUAAAUGACCUCUGAAGAGUUCAUCAUCUCUCUUCAUACAGGUUCCUAUGACAACAUACGAAUAGCCUGUACAGGCACCAAUCCGAAAUAAUAUGGCCUACAUAUUCAAGAACACAUCAUCUAGUGCCUACCGAUCUUCUAAAAUUGUCUACCAAUGACAAAAGAAUUCUAAAAAUGAAGAAAUCAUCUACUCAUCUAACACCACCCAACAUUGAAUAUCAAUGCAUAAUAAGAAGAGGAUUCAAUCGAAAAAAUGAAGAGAAGGGGGGAUAAAAUACCUCAAGGACGCCCAGGGCCCUCAGAUCCAUGAAUUUGAGUGGUGGAAUGAGUAGGUCUUGAAU